rnacentral:rRNA from 1 species
UACGUAGGGGGCGAGCGUUGUCCGGAUUUAUUGGGCGUAAAGAGCUCGUAGGCGGUUCGGCAAGUCGGAUGUGAAAUCUCCACGCUCAACGUGGAGGGGUCAUUCGAUACUGCCGUGACUCGAGUCCGGUAGGGGAGUGUGGAAUACCCGGUGGAGCGGUGAAAUGCGCAGAGAUCGGGUGGAACACCGAUGGCGAAGGCAGGUCUCUGGGCAGUUUAGCUGACACUGAGGCGCGACAGCGUGGGGAGCAAACAGG